UACAGAGGUCCCGAGCGUUGUUCGGAUUCACUGGGCGUAAAGGGCGCGUAGGCGGCGUGUCAAGUCAGGCGUGAAAGCCCCGGGCUCAACCUGGGAACCGCGCUUGAGACUGGCAUGCUCGAGUUCGGGAGAGGAUGGUGGAAUUCCCAGUGUAGAGGUGAAAUUCGUAGAUAUUGGGAAGAACACCGAUGGCGGAGGCAGCCAUCUGGACCGACACUGACGCUGAGGCGCGAAAGCGUGGGGAGCAAACAGG
rnacentral:rRNA from 1 species